CGGGGAGUAGCGCAGUCUGGUAGCGCGCCUGCUUUGGGAGCAGGAUCGGCCACCAAAAAACGGCGGAUUUCCUAGGGUUUCCCGACACACCUUCCA
rnacentral:tRNA from 1 species